GAAGUGUGGCACAUCACCGGUCAUGGGGAUAAUUCCGGGCUUUCCGCCAUCGCAGAGAGAAAACCCCGUGAGAGAGAGAUCGCUCGACGAGGGACACGGGACACAGAAAGAGGUAAUACGAAAUAACCUCGACCUCUCAGGUCGUGGGGUCGCCGAUACGAGAUGGCGAGUCUCCAGCUCCGAACGGAGUUCUUCAUGAUGUUCUUCCCCCCUUUCCGUGGCCGGUCGAUCCUUCUUCAUAGCCGUAGUCCGCCCGUGUCGGCGACUGCCUCCCGUCUAGCGGUCGGAACUGACGGGACCUG
rnacentral:lncRNA from 1 species